CUGGUAAUCAGGGUAGUCAGGGACACAGUAAAGACAGGGAAAGGAAUAUUCAUUUAAACUGCACUUACUUCAGUGUACAAGGUUUAAAAGGUUGUACCUGGACUUCUUGUAUAGUUCUGGAUUGCUGGACUUGAAUGCCACAGUUGGAGCCCUCGGCAGAAUAUGGAGCUCUCGGUUCAAGUACAGAUUUUGGUCUGGCUAUCCUGGUUCUGGCAUUUUGCUGAAAUUGCCAGUACAAACUGGCUUUGCUCUCGUCUUCCAGAUGCAGUCAGGGUAGAAGAUUUGAUUGGAAUGAGGAACGGGAGUCCUGGAAGAUCAGAUUUCCCAGCGGCCCUCCAGAGAUCUUGUGGGUUUCUUGUACGUGCUGAUGGUCCUUCAGAUAGAUUGGAGUCAUCGCAGCUGAGGUAAAUUGUGGUAAGUACUAUAUAUAGUUGGUCGAGGAAGCCAUCCUUCUGUUUCUCUCUAUUCAUUGGUAUUCCAGUAAAAAUGCUGGUCAACAAGAUUUUUUUAAAAGCUGAAUUUGUUGGAGAUCUUAGUAAAACACUAGAAAUACCCAGCAGGUCAGGCCACAUCUCUGAAAGAGAAGCAGUUACCAUUUCAUGAUUAAAGGUAAUGUUCUUUUAAACUGAGACAUUAAACCAUCCUCUUUCUUUUAUAGAUGCUGCCUCAUGUGGUAUCAUUAAAUGUUGAAUUGAGAAUUUAUUGUAAAAUUACAGAUCCUCAUCAAAAUAUUUAAGUGAUCAAACUAAGUGCAGAUUUGUUGCCUGUCACUUAUCCCCUCAAGCAAUACAGCGUCGCUGUUCCACAAUUAACUUUGCGUCUGAUAUAAACCCAUGCAUUUUCUUGUAAGCAGGUUAAGAUCUUUAUGGACGCUACCCACUAUGCAAACUGCUUUUUCCAAAGGUUCCCUUCUGCAAAGAAUAUAGAGCAACAACUUCAUGGCCCCAGACAUUUAACCUGAUCAACCAUAUUAGUUAGCACCCCCUCCCCACAACCUAUACCUAUCAACCCUGUCAAUGCACUGCAUUAUAAACACCUGAAACCAGGUUUCCUAAUGAUGCUUAUGUUGUAACUGCAUGUUGUUAUUUAUUUAUGUAUUUUUGCUCAUUUUAUUCCAUGUCUGCACUUAGUUUUUUAAGAUAUAAUUGAUGAAUUUUGUUUUUUAUUGUUGCAUGUUGUGCCCUGACCAACACACCACAGCAAAUUCUUAAAAUAUGUAAAUAUAUUCAGGGGAAUAAAGUUGAUCCUUGAUCCUUAAGUGCAGGUUUCUUUCAAGUUUCAAAAAAACUUUUGUGUGUGUUGCUUGGAUUUCCAGCAUCUGCAGAUUUUCUCAUGUUUGUACAUUUUUUUAUUCCCUGAUUCAGCACAAGGAGAUUGAAAAUCUCACUGAGUGGUGUCAUAAUAUUACUCAAUGUCAGCAGACCAAGGAGCUAAUUAUAAACCAGGAGAAGGAAACCAGAGGUCUUUGAGCCAGUUCUCAUCAGUGGAUCAAAGGUGGCAACAUUAAAUUCCUAAGGGUUAAUUUCCCAGAGGACCUGUCCUUUGCAAAACAAGUAUGGUACUGCCUCUACUUCCUUAGGAGUUUGCUGAGAUUUGGCAUAACAUCUAAAAGCUUGACAGACAUCCAUAGAUGAGCAGUGCAGAGUACAUUGACUGGCUACAUCAGAGCCUGGUAUGGAAACACCAAUGCCCUUGAAUGACAAAUCCUACAAAAAGUAGUAGGUAUGGCCCAGUCCAUUACAGAUAAAUCCCUCCUAACCAUUGAGUACAUCUACAUGAAACUCUGUCAUAGGAAAACAGCAUUCAUCAUCAGGGCCCUCACAACUCACAACAUGCUCUCUACUCACUGCUGCCAUUGGAAAGAAGAUACAAGAGCCUCAGGACUCACACCACCAGGUUCAGGAACAGUUAUUACCUCUCAAUCACCAGGCUCUUGAACCAAAGGAGAUAACUUCACUCAACUUCACUUGCCCCAUUAUUGAAAUGUUCCCACAGCCAAUGGACUCAUUUUCGAGGGCUCUUCAUCUAAUGUUCUCAAUACUUGUUGCUUACUUAUCUAUCUAUCUAUUUAUUUAUUAAUUAUUUCUUUUUUUUGUAUUUGCACAGUUUGUUAUCUUCUGCACUCUGUUUGAACAGCCUGGUAGGACGGUCUUUCAUUGACUUUGUUAUAGUCAUUAUUCUAUAGAUUUAUUGAUUAUGCCCACAAGUAAUGAAUCUCAGGAUUGUAUCUGGCGACAUAUAUGUACUUUGAUAAUUAAAUUUACUUUGAACUUUAAACUUUUGAACUUUGAAACCUCUUUGAGUCUUUCCGCCUUCUCUUUCUGACAGAUAACAGUGUAGAACAUGAAGCUGAAUCGUUCUAUCUCGAACGCUGCUCUCCAUUCCCCUUCCCACAACUCGCAGGUAUAAUUAUCCCAGCUAGUAAUGUUUAGCCAUGAUCCCACUGGGCACUUAAAGUGAAUAUCAACUGACGGCAUUAAUUUAGCAGACACGACUUUUUAAUAUCCAUAGAGUUGAAGAAAUGAGUAAGCAUUUAGAUUUUUCUUUAUGACUCUGUACUGUUUAGUACAGGCUUUCAUUUUUUUUCCCCAGUGCUCAGCAUUUUGUGAGCCUGCACAAAACACAGUGAUGAACAACCAAUAAUUACAGUGACACAAAACACUGCAGAUGCAGGAAACUGGAGCAAAGGAACAAAUUGUUGCAGGAACUCAGUGGUCCAGGUAGAAACUAAUUUUAGAGGGGAAUGGAUAGUCAACAUUUCAACUGGACUACACUUGUAUUUUACAAUUACUCUUCAGCCCACACAGAACUUGGAGGGGUUUUUGAGGCUUUUUGAGUCUUCAGUAAUUGUGAGGAAAGAUUUUGCUUCCUGAAUACUUUUGGGUGUAUCUUAUAGAUUUUGGGUUGCUGAUCAUGAAAGUCACCAUGAAAUUUCCCCAUCAUGUACCAUUUUUAAAUUGCCUAUAUUUGUUAUUUCAAUUCAUAAUUCAGGUCAGAAUAACUAAUGCCAAGAUUAAGGAAGACAUUUUUGUUGGUCUACAAAUCAGACAGGUCAUUAGUGACAGGCAAUUCAAAGAACUCCUAGUGGGACCAGAGAAAAUUGCAAGGAAAGCAUUCAAAGAUGUUGCUGCAAAUUUUCUUGGAACUACAGAGCUCCAAACCAUGUGUAGCUAACUGACAACAUGCUUCAAGCAUAUAAAAUGAUGAAGUGCAACAUGUCACUAAAUACUUAUUUUCUGCAUUCUCAUUCAUACUUCAAUUUUGGUGCCGUCAGUAAUGAGCAUGGUAAAAGAUUUCAUCAGGAUAUUGUGGUCAAGGCGAAACAAUAUCAUGGCAACUGGAAUCCACCAAUGCUGGCCAAUUAUUGUUGGAUACUUAGGCAAGAAGCCUCAAACACUGAAUACAAAUGAAAAUCACCAGCAAAGCAUUUUUAGCUUGGUUGAACUAUUGAACAGCAUCAGCACCAUUAUGCAAUUAGGUGCAUUGAGUUAUUAUUGUAUUGCUGUCAGCUUGAACCAGUCUGUCCAUUCUCCUCUGACCUCUCUCAUCCACAGAAUGCUGAUCACUUCAUAUUUCUUUUGUUUUUCGCACCAUUCUCUAUAGACAGAUUAGAUAUUUGCAUUACAAGGUAGGUGGAUAGGUGAAUCUGAUAAAGAGGACACUGAGUGUAUUUUUGGGAAUGAUUUGCUCAUUUUCCAUCUGCAUCUGUUUUCCAACUAUGGCAGAUAAAGCUGCCCUAGCACCUCCCCACACAGAUGUUGCAGGAACUAAAUAAUCUCUUUCCUCAUUCGAGAUACUUGCAGGUUAUUCCCAACAUUUCUAGCUUUAUUUCACAUUGGGAAAACAUAACCAUGGAAGCAGAAUUCUACAGGAUCAGGCAGGAAUAAGGUCUCCUUUCAAGCUCUUAGGAACUAUCUGAACAACAAUACUUCAGGUGAAUGUUACUUUCUAGGCAACUUGUAACAAGCUUAUAAAGAAAGUCUUUCUGCGUUAUUUACAAUGUCAUUACCAGCAGCACAAAGGAAAUCUCCCCCUUCAUGUUUAUUACAUUUUUACAGAUAGCACCAGUUGAACAGGAUUCAGUCCUUCGUCAGUAUCCCAACAAACAACAGUUUAUUUCAUUUAGCUCUUAGGUCAGUUCAGUAAUGAUUGCACUCAAUAUUCAUUUAGAGAAGCAGGUAAUCAGCUUAACCUACCGUGCAUUUUAUUCUUUUUUAAACUUCACAGUCAUGCACAGUACUGUGAAAAAGUCAUCAGCACAUGCAAUAUAUAUAGCUAAGGUACCUAUGUCUUUUGCACUGUACUGUAUGUGUCAAUGUGGAGUGGAGAGCGAGUUUGCAAAUCUGGUGGGAGUAAAGGAUGUUGGGAAUGUUGAGGGUGAAGUCCCAUGGGAGGAGUGUGGGACAGGUGGCAGAGAAGGAGUGCCAAGGGAUGGUGGGAGAAGGUGGUGCAGGUGUAGACACACUCAGCCCUGAAACACUAGGCAAGGUCAUUUGAUUCCAAACAGUUGGUUUAUUGAUCAUUACAGAAUGUCUCUCUGGUGCUUUCCACACCCUCUCUCUCCCUUCCCCUUUUCCCAACCAUGAUUCCUCCCCCUGUCCCCUUCCCACUCUCAGUCCGCAAUAGAGACCCAUAUCAGAAUCAGGUUUAUCAUCACUCACAUAAUCACCAUCAUCAACAUUACGUGCUGGGUCGUGUGAUGCGGGCAAUCAUGGUCUCAUGAUUAUUCUUGGGAAAUUUUUCCACAGAAGUGGUUUGGCCUUUGCCUUCUUCUGCCUUUUUCUACAGGAUGGGUGACUCCAACCAUUAUCAAUAUUUUUCAGAGAUUGUCUGCCUGGCAUCAGUGGUCACAUAACCAGGACAUGUGAUGUGCACCAGCUGUUCAUACGGCCAUCCGCUGCCUGCUCCCAUGGCUUCACGUGACCCUGAUCAGGGGCUAAGCAGGUGCUUAGGGAAGCGGAGGCUAGCGGAGGGAAGGAGCACCUUACACCUCCAUUGGUAGGGACGUAUCUUCACCCUGCCACCCAAAUACUCGCAUCCAUCAUGAAAUUGUUUUUUUUGUUUUUGCAGCAGCAGUUCAGUGCAAUAUAUAAAAUUACUACUGGACUGUGCAAAAGUCUUAGCCAACCUAGGUAUAUGUCUGUGCCUAACACUUUUUACAGUACUAUAGAUCAGAUAAAGGAAAAUAAUGCUAGAAAUUCUCAUUUCAAAUCAGGUAAAUGUUUGGGAUUCCAGAACAUUUCUUAUCUAAGAACGGUGUUUGCUGUGUCCUGUGAUGUUUUGUGUGAUAUGCAUGCUUCACACUACUGUCUUUUUUCCUUGCAGGAGAUGGACCCACUGUAUUACUUUGCUACUUGGGAAACUGAAGUUAUUUCCUGCAACUUGUAACAAUUUUGUUUUAAUACUUGCUGCACGUGAUCAUCAUUUUCUUUAUAACUUUCCAUGUUACCGAGGCAUUAGUCUGGUAAUAAUUCAAAUAUAUUAAGGGUUACAAAAACAGACAAGAAACUGUGAUUACAGUUAGUGGUGGUGCGAUCACUCGAUUUGAGUAUGAUGUUCUCUCAAGGGGUUAUUCCCAUGAUGGAGAAUACCUGCGUGUGGCUUUGUUCAACGUCGGGAGGCUGAUGCACGGGCAGCCACUGUGGUGAACUAUGUGCCUGUCUGGACACGCCCCCUGCUGACUGCUCCUGUGGCUCCUCCCACAGGCCCCUGUAUAAAGGCGAUCUGAGGCCUGACGCUCGGCCUCAGUCUCCAGGACAUAGUAUGAUUGACACUCACUCCUGGUUCCUUCUUCCAGUCAAUAAAAGCCGAUAUCUCGCCUUAUGUCUCAGUGUGAGUUAUUGAUGGUGCAUCAGCCACCACACAGUCAUUGACAGAUCAGGGUCAGGGCCCAGUGGCAUGGAAUGCAAGAUGAGUGGGGACCCUUCACUGCUGUAGCUUUCCUUUGUCUUCAUCUGCCACUGUGAUGGGUCAUCGUCUUCGGCUAUCUCCACCACUGAGGUCUUGGUUCGAUUGCUCUUUGUCUGGAACUUCCCACGUGACCUUCCCGCCAAGGGUGACCCUACCAGGAGCUAAGCAUCAGACAACAUUGCCCUUGGGAUCUGAGGAACUCAAAACCUCCCCACCACAACAAGAUGACAAUCCUUAGAGAAGCAUUACUGCUACAUUGCUGCACAUAGAGUCGGAAUCAGAAUCAGGUUUA